UACGAAGGGUGCAAGCGUUAGUCGGAAUUACUGGGCGUAAAGCGUGCGUAGGCGGUUUCCUAAGUCGGAUGUGAAAGCCCUGGGCUCAACCUGGGAACUGCGUCUGAUACUGGAUGGCUUGAGUUCGGGAGAGGGAUGCGGAAUUCCAGGUGUAGCGGUGAAAUGCGUAGAUAUCUGGAGGAACACCGGUGGCGAAGGCGGCAUCCUGGACCGAUACUGACGCUGAGGAGCGAAAGCCAGGGGAGCAAACGGG
rnacentral:rRNA from 1 species